rnacentral:rRNA from 1 species
ACGGCUAACUACGUGCCAGCAGCCGCGGUAAUAUGUAGGUGGCAAGCGUUAUCCGGAAUUAUUGGGCGUAAAGCGCGCGCAGGUGGUUUCUUAAGUCUGAUGUGAAAGCCCACGGCUCAACCGUGGAGGGUCAUUGGAAACUGGGAGACUUGAGUGCAGAAGAGGAAAGUGGAAUUCCAUGUGUAGCGGUGAAAUGCGUAGAGAUAUGGAGGAACACCAGUGGCGAAGGCGACUUUCUGGUCUGUAACUGACACUGAGGCGCGAAAGCGUGGGGAGCAAACAGGAUUAGAUACCCUGGUAGUCCACGCCGUAAACGAUGAGU